rnacentral:lncRNA from 1 species
GCGCCAUUUCGCGCCUCCGGGCCGCUCGGCUGCCCCAGGGGCGCCUGGCAAACGUGGAGUCGCUCGGUUUUGGAGGCAUGCUUUCCAAACUUUCUAAUUCACAGGGUCUUUGCACGCAGCCCCUGCCCCACAACACCUUGGCAGUCUCUGAGACUUCUGGGGCUCUUCUCCCGGGCAGCUCCCGUGCCUGUCCGGUCCCGGAGUUGAAUAGUUUUUGAAGUAAUGAGACGGGAACGAGACUUGGGACGAACUGGAGAAAAACAUAACCGCGAAAGGAGGAGGCGGCUAUCACUUACUGGCUGUGUCAGAAGUCGCCGGGAACGCGUUGCUCCCGAGGCCGAAGGGCCCAGAGAGCUCCAGCCAGGCAGCGGGUUCGUCUCCGGCGCAAGAAGGCUGUGUGACGACACAUCAAGAAGGUGACCACCUGCAAGCCAGGAACAGAGCGCUCACUGUGGAACUGAAUUGGCUGCUACCUUGAUCUUGGACUUCCCAGCUCCCAGACUGUAAGAAAUAAAUUUUUAUUGUUUGAGCCACUCAGUCCAGGUUAUUACAUUAUGGCAGCUCAAGCUGAAUAAUAUCUUGGCAAUAUGUAAAUACGUUCCCAUUAAAAUCUAACUCAUUAGUCAUAAGAUAAAUUCACUGAAAGAGUAAUAAAGCACAUUUGUAAUAACAUACAUUCACUAAAGUGAUAUAUAUUAGCUUAGUAAUGUAAAACAUUUUAACUGGACCUUAAUUGUUGCAUAUUACACCAACAGGCUUAACAUUGCUAAGGUAAGGGAAUCACUGAAUAAAUGAUGGUAUAUUCAUACAGUGUAAUACCAUGAAACCAUCAAAAGCACAUUUCAUUUGGAAGAGUAUUUCACAAUAUAAGAAAAAAUGAUAUAAGGCAAGUAUACAACGUUACAUACAAUAAGAUCCCAUUUUACAGGAGGAAAAAGUGAGUACAGAUAUAUAGAUAUAGAUAUGUAAAGAAAUAAACCAGGCCUGGCACGAUGGCUCACUCCUGUAAUACCAGCACUUCGGGAGGCCUAGGUGGGCGGAUUACCUGAGAUCAGGAGUUCAAGACCAGCCUGGCCAACAUGGCG